rnacentral:lncRNA from 1 species
CUCUAGACCAUGCUUCAAACAUGUGCGAUUUAUUUUUCAGACGCGAUGCAGACAUUCCCAGUUCAGUGAAGUCCUGCCUCAGAGCUGCAGGAGACGUCGAGGUGGUUUCUUCCAGCUGAAGGCAGCAGGCGGAGUCUGAGUGUGUGGAGAGCCAGGCCCCCGAGCUCCCGCCAGCCGGGCAGACCCCACAAGCCAGCCUCGGCCCCUCCUUGGGACCAGAGGCUUCUUGCCAAGGCCGCCUGGCCGUGAACCGCGGCUCCGACCCUCUGAGCUACCUAGUGUGCAACCUGGGCAGGCAGGCUUUCCUGCCCCUGUGGUCGGCCUCCGCUCUCAGCAGGGAGGUGCAGCUGAGAGUCUGGCCUGACGGACAGCGAGGCCUGGCCCAGCGCAGCUCCUGGGGUGGAGGCCAGGCCCCAGGCCCCCGCUGCUCUGCAGCAGCAGGAGAUCCUGCCUCAGGAGGACCUGUGACACGGAGGAGGGCGGAGGAGGGCCAGGGCGCGCCAACAGCAGUCAGUGCGGAGCCUGGGCCCUGGCACCACGCGUCCCCAGACUGAGAAGCUCCAGCCUCGGUCAUGGGAACGGAAGUCCAAGCAGCAAAACAAAGUUGCGUAACCAGACGACAAAGCCA